GACAGAGGGUGCAAACGUUGUUCGGAAUUACUGGGCGUAAAGCGUGUGUAGGCGGUUUGCUAAGUCGGGUGUGAAAGCCCCGGGCUCAACCCGGGAAGUGCACUUGAAACUGGCAGGCUAGAGUACUGGAGAGGUUGGUGGAAUUCUCGGUGUAGAGGUGAAAUUCGUAGAUAUCGAGAGGAACACCGGUGGCGAAGGCGGCCAACUGGACAGAUACUGACGCUGAGACACGAAAGCGUGGGGAGCAAACAGG
rnacentral:rRNA from 1 species